UUCUAUUCUGUUCUUGUGGGAGAUCAAGAACUGAAAGCGAGAACAUCAAGCAGACUAGAAAGAAUCCAAACUGCAGAACAAUUUUUUAAUGCAAAGUUACUUGAAAAAGAUUAUGUGUUUGUGCCAAUCAACAGAAGCCUACACUGGUUUUUGGCCAUCAUUUCACCAUGGUAGGAAAAGCAACAUUUGCCAUAUUGCAUGUGUUCCUUUAAAGCAUGUAAUGUUACAAUAGUAACCAGUUUCAUAGUUAGGCAUCUCCUUGUUCUGGACUCUUUAACUUGGGAUAAAGAAGAC